UGGGGAAUAUUGCACAAUGGGGGAAACCCUGAUGCAGCGACGCCGCGUGAGUGAAGAAGUAUUUCGGUAUGUAAAGCUCUAUCAGCAGGGAAGAAGCAAGACGGUACCUGAGUAAGAAGCCCCGGCUAACUACGUGCC
rnacentral:rRNA from 1 species